GUGGCCCUCCCCUGCAGUGAGAAGCAUGCAAGCUCAUAGACAAGGAACAGCGUGUUACAGCUACAACAUCAAAUUGCUUAGGCUGUCAUCCCUCAGUGUAGUCAUGGUGUGGUGAAUGCAACGCUGGAGCUGUCGUCUCAGCAAAAGAUGAACCCCUCCCCUGAUCCUACCAUCCCAUGACAGAGAAGAAAUAAUAAGAUGGCUGACCAGGAUAUCCACCACGCCUUGUUCUGGCACAGUGAAGUAGAUGAACCAUCAAUACAGUUGAGAUGUCCUCCUACUAGGAUGGAAAUUACCACCAGGGGCAUUGGACAUUUUGAUUUCUUCAAUGUGGAGACCAGACCUUCACUUAGACUGCCUUCCACUUGAAGCCUUUGUUUGGCUGAGACAUAAUUUGGCGAAGCAGUCCCUAGAGGGGAUAACUGGACUAUCUUCAAGAACUGAAAUGAGGCAAAUAGAUCGUGGGCCAUGUGGAUGGAUGUGAGACAGAAAACAAUCUACCCUGAUGUCACGUCAUACUCCGGUGGCGGCAGUCAGCCAGCCAGCCAGUUGCACAUCUACCCUGAUGUCACGUCGUACCUUGAUGUCACGUCAGACCCUGAUGUCACGUCGUACUCCGGUGGAGGCAGUCAACUUCAUACUCCGGUGGCGGCAGUCAGCCAGCCAGGUUGCACUCAAGAUGUCUUCCUGAUUAGACAGCAAAGCCAUGUAAUGAUGACCACAUCUCCUGACGAGUCAAUAGAUCGCGUGGGCCAUGUGGAUUGAGGGGAGACGGAAAGCAUAUCUACCCGGAUGUCACGUCGUACUUCAGUGGUGACGGCAGUCAGCCAGCCAGUUGCACUCGAGAUGACUUCCUUAUUAAACAGCAAAGCCAUGCUAUGAUGACCACAUCUCAUUAACAGUGGGCCAUAGUGGAUAGAGUUGAGACAGAAAGGAUGGCAGUCAGCCAGCCAGUUGCACUCGAGAUGUCUUCCUGAGUAGACAGCAAAGCCAUGUAAUGAUGACCACAUCUCAUUAUCAGUGGGUCAUGUGGAUGGAGUGGAGACAGAAAGCAUAUCUACCUCUGAUGUCUCGUCGUACUCCGGUGGCAGCAGUCAGCCAGCCAGUUGCACUCGAGAUGUCUUCCUGAUUAGACAGCAAAGCCAUGUCAUGAUGACCACAUCUCCUGAUUAGUCCAUCAAUCUUAGCAUCUUCAAAGACAUCUUCCCAUCAACAAGUAGAUCUCCAUUCAAGACCAGUCAAUGAUGAAGGAGCUACACUCUACAA